AUUGAACGCUGGCGGCAGGCCUAACACAUGCAAGUCGAACGGUAACAGGAAGAAGCUUGCUUCUUUGCUGACGAGUGGCGGACGGGUGAGUAAUGCCUGGGAAACUGCCUGAUGGAGGGGGAUAACUACUGGAAACGGUAGCUAAUACCGCAUAAUGUCGCAAGACCAAAGAGGGGGACCUUCGGGCCUCUUGCCAUCGGCUGUGCCCAGAUGGGAUUAGCUAGUAGGUGGGGUAACGGCUCACCUAGGCGACGAUCCCUAGCUGGUCUGAGAGGAUGACCAGCCACACUGGAACUGAGACACGGUCCAGACUCCUACGGGAGGCAGCAGUGGGGAAUAUUGCACAAUGGGCGCAAGCCUGAUGCAGCUAUGCCGCGUGUAUGAAGAAGGCCUUCGGGUUGUAAAGUACUUUCAGCGGGGAGGAAGGGAGUAAAGUUAAUACCUUUGCUCAUUGACGUUACCCGCAGAAGAAGCACCGGCUAACUCCGUG
rnacentral:rRNA from 1 species